GACAGAGGGUGCAAACGUUGCUCGGAAUCACUGGGCGUAAAGGGCGUGUAGGCGGGACAGUAAGUCGGGCGUGAAAUCCCUGGGCUCAACCCAGGAACUGCACUCGAAACUACUAUUCUUGAGUGUCGGAGAGGAAAGCGGAAUUCCUGGUGUAGAGGUGAAAUUCGUAGAUAUCAGGAGGAACACCAGUGGCGAAGGCGGCUUUCUGGACGAUAACUGACGCUGAGACGCGAAAGCGUGGGGAGGCAAACAGGG
rnacentral:rRNA from 1 species